ensembl:lncRNA
GAUGACUUUGUCAUUUUCAGGCUAUGAAAAUAGCACAGGGACAGAAAGGGGAAGAAUCAAAGGGGAAGUGUGGUUUGUUUUCGUGGACGUGGGAGGUGGAUAUAAAGGGAGCAGAGAGCAGGUCAGAGCACAUCAGCCCUGCACAUUCAAACAGAAGAACAUCUGUCUGUGUCGGGAACCAUGAAGACUCUGCUGGCUCUCACAGUCCUGACGCUCACCUGCUUCCUGAAGCACAGCUCUGCCAACCCAGUCGCUAUAGACAUGGUGAUAAAAAAUGUUGAAUGCUGCGAGGCCGUCACUAAUAAAAUCCACAUACCAGUGGACAAGGUGACGAACGUGACAAUGGCCAGCGACUGCAAACUUAAAGCGAUCAUCGUCACUAUUCUGAAGAAGAAGAAGCUCUGCCUUGAUCCUGAAUGGAAACAUGCACUGAUGCAUCUGGAAGAAUUCAAGAAAAGAUCAGCGCCCACCACUCUGAAACCUGAAACCACUAAAGAAAUGAAGAAAACCUUUUCGUCCACCACUCUGAAGCCCACAACCACCUGAGUCUGCAAUCCCAGAAAUGAUCAAAGCGGUUCUUUUCUACAUUAAUAAUCUGACAAAGUUAUUUGCUGCUCUCGUGUGUUUUAAACUGUUGCAGAACUUUGAUCAUUAAUGAUGAUUACACAGAAAUGUUUCUAGUUUAAAACCUUUAAAGUUUUUUCUCUUCAAUGUUUUUUAUGAGAUAAACCAAGUGCUGUGACUGAACGUUUCAAAUGUCUGUUCAUUAUUGCUCCACCUUUCACAAUAAAAGAUUUAUUUUUGUACUCUUUAAAGCCCACUGAGUCCUUGUUUGAGCUUGUUGGUGUUACCACAACUGCUUUAUUUAAUACAGCUGUGAGUCAUGAAGACAUACACCCAUUUUAUAAAAAUAUUAUGUUAUAAUAAUAAUGACAAACAUCACUUUCAUAAAGACCCAAAGCUGGAAUAAACAGUGUGCUGCAUUCAGUCGC